GGGUCAGUGGCGGAACAAUAACGUGCUUGCCUACGGAUUAGGAGAGUCCGGGUUUGAAUUCUGGCUGGCUCG